UCGUGUCUACCUAAGAGGAUCAUCACUGUCACCUUCUAAGAAGUGCGAAGUGCCUAAGGGUUGGGAUAUGUUGUGGUGACCUUCUUUGGAAAUACAAUCUACGGCAAGCACAAGGGAGCAUGGACUGCUCCCAUAUCCCAAAGUAAAAGGACAUAGGAGAUAAGGUCACAGAGAUGAUCAUUAAGGUGUCCACUGUGGAAAAUACCAUGAAGGAGCAACAUCAGCCAAUUGGUGCUAUCUCAGGGCACAUAACUUAAAUACAUUCUCCAACCUUCUUUGAAG